UUAGUACUCCAUCCGUUCGGAAUUACUUGUCGCAGAAAUGGAUGUAUCUAGAUGUAUUUUAGUUCUAAAUACAUCCAUUUCCGAGACAAGUAAUUCCGAACGGAGGGAGUAAAAA
rnacentral:pre_miRNA from 1 species